CCGCCGCGUGGGCCGGGGCCGAGGUGCUGGGGUCGCCGCCGGCCUUGUCGUCCUUGCCGCCGCUGUUCAGGGCCAGUGCGACGACC
rnacentral:tRNA from 1 species